AUUGAACGCUGGCGGCAUGCCUAACACAUGCAAGUCGAGCGGUGUAAGCGAGCUUGCUCCUGGAUUCAGCGGCGGACGGGUGAGUAAUGCCUAUUAAUCUGCCUCGUCGUGGGGGAUAACUUCCUGAAACCGGCUCUAAUGCCGCAUACGUCCUGAGUUGGAAAGUGGGGGAUCUUCGUACCUCACGCUAUCAGAUGAGCCUAGGUCCGAUUAGCUAGUUGGUGGGUUAAAGGCCUGACAAGGCGACGAUCCGUAACUGGUCUGAGAGGAUGAUCAGUCACACUGGAACUGAGAAACGGUCAAGACCCCUACGGGAGGCAGCAGUGGGGAAUAUUGGAGAAGGGGAGAAAGCGUGAUCAAGCCAUGUGGGGUGUGGGAAGAAGGUGUUAGGCUUCGAAAGGAAGUAAAGUUGGGAGGAAGGGCAGUAAGUUAAUACCUUGCUGUAAUGACGUUACCAAAAGAAUAAGCACCGGCUAACUUCGUG
rnacentral:rRNA from 1 species